rnacentral:rRNA from 1 species
UGGGGAAUAUUGGGCAAUGGGCGCAAGCCUGACCCAGCAACGCCGCGUGAGGGAAGAAGGCCUUCGGGUUGUAAACCUCUGUCCUUGGUGACGAAAAAAAUGACGGUAGCCAAGGAGGAAGCCCCGGCUAACUACGUGCCAGCAGCCGCGGUAAUACGUAGGGGGCGAGCGUUGUCCGGAAUUACUGGGCGUAAAGGGUGCGUAGGUGGCCUUUUAAGUUGGAUGUGAAAUACCCGGGCUUAACGUGGGGUGUGCAUCUAAUACUGGGAGGCUAGAGUGCAGGAGAGGGAAGCGGAAUUCCUAGUGUAGCGGUGAAAUGCGUAGAUAUUAGGAGGAACACCAGUGGCGAAGGCGGCUUUCUGGACUGUAACUGACACUGAGGCACGAAAGCGUGGGGAGCAAACA